rnacentral:lncRNA from 1 species
GGGGCUCUCUCAGGGAAUAAGACCAACUAGACCUCAUCUUCACUGAAUUUAUCGUCCAGCAAGUAAUAAACAUAAAGAGUGGAAAACAGCAGCCUCUGACCUUCCAUUUCUUAGAGGUUUCAUGAACUGGACUGCCAAGCAACAUUUGGAUUUUCAGUACUAGGGACAACUCAUAGGUACCUGCUUAGAUUCUGAGUUGGCUCCAUCUAAUGAGAUCCUGAGGACACAUCAGGGCCCAAGAGGAGCUGAUUCACUGGAAGUUCAGGGCACUCUGGUUUUUCCAAGCAGGCUAGGACAGCAUGGAAGUUUAAACUCUCAGUACAGUGAAGCAUGAGCCAGAGAUGGAGUGCCUACUCUCUUUGAUUUGAGUGAAACAUUUACUUAUGAGAAGUAGAUUCAGCAUCUGAGUCACCAGACACUGAAAUAUUACAGCAAAGAUCUUUACGUGUUUCCUACCUCAUCACUACAUACCCACUCAUCUGAGAUGUGUGAUGCUUGACACGGACAGAACUCAAACUGUCUUUUACUACCUAUGAAGGAAGAAAUGAUGAUAGAUCAUAAUUGAAACAACCUACUGAGGAGAGGAAGCUGUUUUCAAGCACCUUCAAGAACUUUAAAAGGGCUCGUUUUAUCAACAAUGUUAAUUAAAAAUCAUUCUUAUUAAAGCAAUUCCUCUAAUUUUCUCUACCAGAUAAAAUUGUAUUAGGCCACUUUCAGUGACAAGAUAUGCUUGACAGAAGAAAAAAGUGUUAAAAUGUUUUACGAAUGAGAUUUUAACUCUUCAGAAUAAGUUUUACAUGCAUUGAUUUUUUUUUUAAGUAAAGUGUUACAUAUUCUAACACAAUUUCACCCCACCCACCCCCUUAAAGUCAAUGAGGAUAUUUAUCUCCUCUCAAUAUAAGGUUGUUUUGUUUUGUUGUUUUGGGGGUUGGGUUUUUUUGUAAAAACUUUUGGAUAUUUUUCCAAAACUAAUGCCAAACAUUUCUUCAUUAUAUCCUAAAAGAAUCACUUUCAUCAAAGUAAAUGUUCAUGAUAAAUGUUAUUAAGUAUAACCAGAAUAAUAACUAAAAAUAGCUCAAAUUGUCUAGCUACAUUUUGUCAACAAUCUUGCUCUAGCCAAGUUCCCCAUUCAUUGCACAAUCUAUAUUUUGGGAAGGACAGAACAUAAUUGCUUCCAAACAAAAUUUCAAGCCUGUGUACAUUUCCUUCCCACCAUCAGUUUCAGUUAAAUGAAUUAAUCUUUGAAAAGGGGGAAAUGCAGAAAGCAGGACUUCUCCCAAAAACACAUUUAAUGUGUAUUUUAUCAAGGGCUUUAAUUAUAAAGUUGUAAUGGGUGAUUUUUGUUAUAAUCAUCACUGGAGAGAUUUCAGUGUUUUAGAGCAGAGAUCCCCAACUCCUGGGCCACAGACCAGUACCAGUCUAUGGCCUGUUAGGAACUGGGCUGCACAGCAGGAGGUGAGCAGCAGGUGAUCAAGUGAAGCUUCAUCUGUAUUUACAGUUGCUCCUCAUCGCUUGCAUUACUGCCUGAGCUUUGUCUCCUGUUAGAUCAGCAACGGCAAUGAGUGGCAGCAUUAGAUUCUCACGGGAGCACAUACCCCAUUGUGAACUGCCCACAUGCAAGGGAUCUAGGUUGCACACUCCUUAUGAGAAUCUAAUGCCUGAUGAUCUGUCACUGACUCCCAUUACCCCCACAUGGGGCCAUCUAGUUGCAGGAAAAUGAGCUCAGGGCUCCCACUGAUUCUACAUUAUGGUGAGUUGUAUAGUUAUUUCAUUAAAUGUAAUAAUAAUAGAAAUAAAGUACACCAUAAAUGUAUUGUGCUUCAAUCAUCCCAGAACCAUCCCCUGCUCUCCUGGUCUGUGGAAAAAUUGUCUUCCACUAAACCAGUCCCUAGUUCCACAAAGGUUGGGGUUUGCUGUUUUACGAUGUUACUUUCAUCUUUCGCCUUAGCAUACCUUGUUCAGACAAGCAGCAAACAGCAAAUGCUAACCUGAUGAAAAGAUACUUAAUCGUACUAAGGCAUAAAAGCAAACCCAAAAAAUAUUUCUAAUAUACUUGAGGCAAUGCUACAUAAAAAUUUUUGUUAGCUUAUUCAAUUGCCUCUUCUAAAGUACAAGUAUGUGAAUUACUCAGCUAGGACACAAGGCACAUUUUUUCUGAGUUGGCAAAUCUUAUUUUAUGGACUAUUCUAGUACCCUUUUAAAAUUCAUCAAAUUUUAACAUUCAAAGCAUAGUAUAUGGAUAUUUAGGGAAUAUGAACAAGUAUAAAAUACAGUUCUUACUCUCAAUCUGAUUACAUCCUAUCAUGGAAAAUAAUCUUCCUGUGGGUGCAUUUUGUCUCAGCUGAAGCCAGACUUCUCCAAUAAUAAAUCACCUACAAUUCAGAGCCAACACUAGACAUGUGAAGAAUUAAAGGCCUGGCAAAUAGAGGUGGCAGAGAGAGGAGUGGUAACAGUGAUAGAUCUGAACUUCUUACCAGAUCCUGACUUGUUACCAGUGAAAAGGUCCUUGAAAUGGAAUCCUUAAAAGAUAAGUCCAUGUAUCCCAGAACUUAAAGUAAAAUUUUUUUAAAAAAAGUUAAAAAAAAGAUAUGUCCUACACAGUGAUUUCUGUAAUAAAGUACACUACAUUUUACAUAAAGUCUUAUUUCUCACAACACUUUGGUGGAGCUCUUUGCAAACAAAUUAACACAUGAAAGAGGUCAGUAAUUUGCUUGAGGUCAUGUAGUUUAUUGAGUGACAAGUUCAGCAAUUAAGGAAUUAUACAAAACAUGUAUGAGUUUUUAAUACUAUUUUGGCUUAAAUGUGAUUAUUUUUGCAUCCUAGAGAUAUAUAUAGGCAUGGGAAAAAAGCCAUGUGUGUAUCAAUGUCAUUAUAGAUCUUCUCUGGAUAAGACUUGGAAUGAUAUUUUCUUCUUGUUUAUGUGUAUUUAUAAUUUAUAAUGAUUGCGUUUUGCUUAUGUCAUAAGAAAUUUUAAGAAUAAAAUUAAAUAGUAACAAUUAA